CAGCCGCCGCGGUAAUACAGAGGGUGCGAGCGUUAAUCGGAUUUACUGGGCGUAAAGCGUGCGUAGGCGGCUUUUUAAGUCGGAUGUGAAAUCCCUAAGCUUAACUUAGGAAUUGCAUUCGAUACUGGGAAGCUAGAGUAUGGGAGAGGAUGGUAGAAUUCCAGGUGUAGCGGUGAAAUGCGUAGAGAUCUGGAGGAAUACCGAUGGCGAAGGCAGCCAUCUGGCCUAAUACUGACGCUGAGGUACGAAAGCAUGGGGAGCAAACAGGAUUAGAUACCCCCGUAGUCCCUGUCUCUUAUAA
rnacentral:rRNA from 1 species